rnacentral:rRNA from 1 species
GGCGGACGGGUGAGUAACACGUGGAUAACCUACCUAUAAGACUGGGAUAACUUCGGGAAACCGGAGCUAAUACCGGAUAAUAUUUUGAACCGCAUGGUUCAAAAGUGAAAGACGGUCUUGCUGUCACUUAUAGAUGGAUCCGCGCUGCAUUAGCUAGUUGGUAAGGUAACGGCUUACCAAGGCAACGAUGCAUAGCCCACCUGAGAGGGUGAUCGGCCACACUGGAACUGAGACACGGUCCAGACUCCUACGGGAGGCAGCAGUAGGGAAUCUUCCGCAAUGGGCGAAAGCCUGACGGAGCAACGCCGCGUGAGUGAUGAAGGUCUUCGGAUCGUAAAACUCUGUUAUUAGGGAAGAACAUAUGUGUAAGUAACUGUGCACAUCUUGACGGUACCUAAUCAGAAAGCCACGGCUAACUACGUGCCAGCAGCCGCGGUAAUACGUAGGUGGCAAGCGUUAUCCGGAAUUAUUGGGCGUAAAGCGCGCGUAGGCGGUUUUUUAAGUCUGAUGUGAAAGCCCACGGCUCAACCGUGGAGGGUCAUUGGAAACUGGAAAACUUGAGUGCAGAAGAGGAAAGUGGAAUUCCAUGUGUAGCGGUGAAAUGCGCAGAGAUAUGGAGGAACACCAGUGGCGAAGGCGACUUUCUGGUCUGUAACUGACGCUGAUGUGCGAAAGCGUGGGGAUCAAACAGGAUUAGAUACCCUGGUAGUCCACGCCGUAAACGAUGAGUGCUAAGUGUUAGGGGGUUUCCGCCCCUUAGUGCUGCAGCUAACGCAUUAAGCACUCCGCCUGGGGAGUACGACCGCAAGGUUGAAACUCAAAGGAAUUGACGGGGACCCGCACAAGCGGUGGAGCAUGUGGUUUAAUUCGAAGCAACGCGAAGAACCUUACCAAAUCUUGACAUCCUUUGACAACUCUAGAGAUAGAGCUUUCCCCUUCGGGGGACAAAGUGACAGGUGGUGCAUGGUUGUCGUCAGCUCGUGUCGUGAGAUGUUGGGUUAAGUCCCGCAACGAGCGCAACCCUUAAGCUUAGUUGCCAUCAUUAAGUUG